CGACGGGGUGGCCGCCGCGGUGAAGGUCGCGCGGUUCAAGUCCGCGUCGUACACGGUGCAGCGGCCGCUGCGGUUCGGUGCGGCGCUCGCCGG
rnacentral:tRNA from 1 species